rnacentral:lncRNA from 1 species
UAACUAUCAACCUAAUAGUUGGACAUGAUCAUGGUUUGUAAUUGAGAAAAGAUAUUAACAACUCACAAAACUAAUGUUGCAUACAUACACACACACACACACACACACACACACACACACACACACACACAUAUUGUUGUUGCUAAACUCUAGAGAGGUCAGUAGAAGACUGAUCUAGAGAUUGGCCGGAGGACAAGCUUUGAACUUGGUGGGA